CUGUCUCUUAACUAGCUAGAUCUGUUCCUCUGUCUAGCUUGUGGUAAGUUUCAGCAGAUCCAUCAAGCUCUGAGAAGCUUUAGCUCCUAUCAUGAACCAUGUGUUACUUUAGAUCAUCUUGUUCAGUCUUGUAUCUCUUAGUACGUAUCUCUUCCGGUAGAGAUCGGGUUCAUGCGUAUGAUCUAUUGGCCAUUUGAGAUCUUCAAUGGCAGAUUCAUGUUAGUAGAUCAUUAAAGUAGUCGAUGUCUAGAUAAAUUGAAAUUUGGGGUGGGUUUGAGAUAUUUUUCAUAGAGAUAGCUGCCUUUUGCUCUAGAUUGAGACUCCUGAGAUUAUUUAAACAGUUGUAUGAAUCGAUACCUAAGCAAAACCUCUACUUUGUGAAUUGGGGCCUGUAAACAAUCGUUAUCAUGAUGAAAAAUCCUUGUCAAUCGCUGCAUCCAUGAUGUUAAUCUGUCGUUUCUUUAAUACAAGUUGUUGAACAGUCUUUUUUCAACUAUUUGAAUAAUUACUGGGCUGGCAUUGCAUGGCCUAAUCAGACUUUGGGCCUAGCUUCUUCCAAAAUGCAGUCUUAACUAUUAGAUGGCUGGGGGGGGGGGCAUUGCAUGGCCAAAUUGCAGCUUGGGCCUCGCACCUCCCGUUACGUGAUCUUAGUUAUGUAGAUCCCUUUUAGCUUUGAUGAAAUUUGGU
rnacentral:lncRNA from 1 species